UACGUAGGGGGCAAGCGUUGUCCGGAUUUAUUGGGCGUAAAGAGCUCGUAGGCGGCUCAGUAAGUCGGGUGUGAAAACUCCAGGCUCAACCUGGAGACGCCACCCGAUACUGCUGUGGCUAGAGUCCGGUAGGGGAGCAUGGAAUUCCUGGUGUAGCGGUGAAGUGCGCAGAUAUCAGGAGGAACACCAGUGGCGAAGGCGGUGCUCUGGGCCGGAACUGACGCUGAGGAGCGAAAGCGUGGGGAGCAAACAGG
rnacentral:rRNA from 1 species